ensembl:lncRNA
AUGGCUCUGGCUCUGGCUGAAAGUGCCAACAAGGCACUGCGACAAGGUGCCUCACCUCCAUACCGUCCCCGUCAAAGUGGAACCUCCCAUGAGACAGAUGUCUGCUUCCAGAGGUCCCUUUCUGCUGAUGCGGGUGCUCUGCUGUCUUCUGAUCCUAAUCAGAUCUACUCCACGGUGCGCCCCUUGUCUGUAUGGAAGACUGAGGGUGAUGACGAUAAUGAUGAUGAUGACGAUGAUGAUGGUGAAAAUGCCACUAAAAAGCCUGCAGACAAAUCAAAUGGUACAAAACCAAGGUCACCUGGGCAGGACACUGGGACUCUCUCUUCUAACAGCUCAGUCUCUGACUCUAGGACAUCCAAUUCUGAGUUGUCAGCUGCCAGUUCCUCUGAAGACAAUGAGCGAACACCAAGCCCCAUUUAUAAGAAUGAAGAAGCAACUUCUCCAGCACAGCCCUCAAAAUCCAGCCCACCCUCUUCCACCGAAGCUGUCCCUUCUCAGAGAAAACCCCCAGCAUAUGGGCGGCAGUUUUCUGCUCCACAGCUUCAGCAGGAGAAGUCUAGCAGUCAGUCCAAGCCUGCACCCCAACCACACACUCAGCUUCUGCAUUCUAAAUCAGAGAGCUCUCCACUGGCCCAGGUACGAGCCUUCCAGCCCACUCGCCCAAAAGUGCCACCCAAGCCCCCUGAUCUUGCUCCCUUGAGGGUUCCACUCUCUCAGACUGACCGCCAUGAUUACAUGCGUCGCUCAUUGGAUGCCAGUCGCAUUCGACGUUUGGCAGGUACACCGCAAGGGAACACACCACUUUCCAGAGCUUUCUCUGAGCGUAUCAGCAGUACCUCUGACAUGCUGUCUCGCUAUCAUGCAGCCAGGAUGGCCAACCAAGCUGCCCAGGUUGCACACCUUCCCCAACAACAGCAACAGGCCCAGUCCACACCAAUCAGACCAGUUGUCCCAUCCUUUGAAGACCCUUCCAAGAUGGAGAACUUUUACUAUGAAAUUGGUGCACCUGAGCAUCCACAAGUGCCACCCAGCUAUGCACGCCACAGCUAUCAAAAUAUGAAGCUGGAUCUGGAGGGAAACCUUCGUCUUACUGACCCAGCCAAUCAAAGGCCUAUUUCCAGGGGUUGCCCUCCUCCCUACAACCCGCAAGGACCUGGGGGCUGUAGGGCUCCCCAGCUGUGGUCAUCUGAGGCCACACGAGCUUGGGCCGCAGCACACUCUCAUUCUUUCUCAUUUUCUCAUUCUCACCAUCACUCUCAGGAUGGAUCAUCAGGACAUCCUCCCCACCCCCGUCCCCUGCGUCAGACAUCAUCAUCUGUCAGGUUGUCCCGCAGUGAAGUGCAUCCCAUGUCCGCAUCUAUUGGAGUGGGUUCCUCUACUGGCAUGGUGCCUCUGUCUGUGCACCAACGUAGCUUGAUUCGCCCCCAACGUUCCCCUUCAGCAGACCACACUGCCUCCCAGCUUCACCCCUACUUUGAAAACGGGAAGGUGUGUUACCGGUACUUUGAGGCUUCCAGACCGGAAGACUCGCCACUGAAUCAGCAUCAGCAUGCUGUUUUAAAGCCGUCUCAGGCCUCACCAGUGCAAGGAAUCACAAAAGAUCAGCCAGAGCACAUCUACGUCAACUACCCUUUCCCAAACCCACCAGAAUCUGGGGUUAAUUCAAAGGGCUGGGCUACCACAGACCUUGACGAAAAUGAUCAUCAAGCAUCUAAGAUGCUAGAACCACCUUCCAAGUCACCACCGGAUGACAAACAGAAGCAUUCAGAGCAAGAAAGUCAGACAGCUAUCUUUGAUAACCCUUCCCAGAACGAUGUGUCCUCAGAUUCCAAAGUGAUCAAUAUAGCAGCGUCUGCCUUCAAUCCCAUGCAUUUCCGCAGUCGCUCAGAUCCCCAAAGUACCAGCUCAGAGCCUGCUCAAGUCCUAACUGGGAAGGAAAUUGCCUCCUUGCUAAUUGAAAAGCUUGCAGAGGAUGAAAGGGAGGGUCCUUCUGUGCCGUCCUCUUUGUCCUCUUCUCCGCACUUCGAGCACCCUCCAAAUCCCUACCCUAGCCAGCAGCAGCAGCCUCCACCUGCAUACAAUAUCUACACUCCAGGACCCUCUCGAGGGCACAUUGAAGGUCAGGUGCCACCUAGAGAGGGAUCAGGACCUUUCCAUCGUCAAGACCCCUUGCGGAGAUCUGCCGGAGGCCAGUAUAGACAAGCUUUUGACGUCAUGCCAUCUGGCAACCAAGUCCUUAAGUUUUACAGGAGCCAAGACUUUAUCCCAGGUGCCCGGGGAGAAAGCACAACCCCUAAUCCUUAUCCCCCAAGACCAUAUUAUCAGGACCCCCCAUACCCCAAUUGGGGCCCACAAGGCCUCCCAGACUCUUCCCACACAUGCACUCCACCUACAGUGGCCUUCUCCAACUUAGCGCUUGGAUCGACAAGAGGAUAUGGGCCCCAGAAUGUGGCCAACCAAUAUAACCAGUACCCAUACCAGUCAGGGCCAGUGCUUCCCCAGUAUCCCAACACACCACGACGAGAUGUUGUCCUGGAUCCUUCUCUCCGUCCUCCGGGGUUGCGAAACCAGAGAGGCUUAAACCGGCAGGGAAGCCUGCCGGGCCCCGACUGGACCAUCCGAACUGAAAGUCAGACCCGUAGUUAUUGCUAA